rnacentral:rRNA from 1 species
CGCGUAGGCGGGGACCAAGUCCGGGUGAAAUCUUUCGGCUCAAACCGGAAAACUGCCUUGGAUACUGGUCUUCUUGAGGGAGGUAGGGGCAGGUGGAACUUCCGGUGGAGCGGUGAAAUGCGUUGAUAUCGGAAGGAACGCCGGUGGCGAAAGCGACCUGCUGGAUCUCUUCUGACGCUGAGGCGCGAAAGCUAGGGGAGCGAACG